GCAUAGUGUACUGGUGACCAACCACCGACGCGGCGCCGACUGCAUGCACUGCACGGGGGGGACGUCGCUCGCAUAUACUGCCGGCACGCACCCACACCGAGCGACUAGAUUGUCGUAUGUCCACCCCGUCCACCGACCUGCUAGCUCGACCAUCGUCCUCGACUAGCUGGUUACCCCACCCGCUAUCGCGACGUGCCGCCGCGGCCCCUGUAGGGCGCGUGCGACGGCGGCCUCGCGUCCCUCGGGGCGGAGCGGUGCGAGGCGGCGACGGAGCUGGAGCCGCGGCGGCGCGAGGCCCGGCCGGCGAGGCGGGAGCUGCAGCAGCUCGAGCAGCACUCCCUCGACCUCCUGACGGGCGUGAAGUUGCGGCCGUUCCCCAGCCACGACUGCUGGCUGCCGUGCCACCUCUACCUCCGGAGGCAGUACCUGCCGUGGCCGUACGCGACGCCGCGGCAGAGGCCGGAGAGGUGGCAGCGGUUGGGGUAGAGCGAGCGGUCCGAGCAGUACCUGUUCUGCGGGGUGUAGAUGGAGCGGAAGCUCCCGCGGCUCCGGAAGCGGUCCCUGGUCCCACACCUCUAAUCCCUAGUUUCGGUAAAGUAUUGUCUCCUUUUGUAACUCUCCGAGUUUUUGCGGUUUCUCCGGUUGUCCCACGUCUAGCUGAUGUGGGUCAUGUUGAUGUGGGUCGGUUAGCAUCGAGGGUUGCCGCUGCUGUUGUCGGCCUGGCCGUGCCACCCGACGCACCGGCAGCUGCGGAGCCCGCCGGACCGGAGCCGCUGGAGGUGCCCGCCCGACCACUUGUUCUACCGGCCGUCCUAGCCGCUGUGGGGCCAGUAGCCGCGGCCGUGGAUGCGGUUGCGGGAGACGCGGCACAGGUGGUGCCCGUUCCCGCUCCUGUAGUAGGCCGUGUGGCACCGCGCGCUGCACCACCGCCACUACCUCGUGGCCCCGGAGGGCGACCUCCUCCGGCGGCGUGCGCAGCACCGGCCGCACGGGGCCCCGAGGCACCCCGACCACCGGCACAGCUGGCGGCCCCUCCACUGGUACCGCAUGUUGUGCUGCCCCUACAAGUCCCGCACGCGGUGGCUCCUACCCGUGAGGCUCCAACGGUAUACCGGACGGACUAGGACUUAGGACUACUACCCCUCUCGAUUCGCAACCUCUCAUUUGAUGGUCGACUAAUACACACAGAGACAGACGAAAGAGAUCACAGACGACGUCCACGUGUGGAGACGAAACCGUUAACGGUGACGCUCCGUUUCUUGAGGUAGUCAAACUACAAAGACAAGUACAACAUUCCUAAAUCGAUUAAACCAUAGUUAUAAUAACCUUCAAACACAAUAGUAAUUAUCUUGGCCUCGAUCCGGCAUAAGAAGGUGUUUUUGUACUUUAAGUCG
rnacentral:rRNA from 1 species